CAGAAACACAUGAAAUCUAUGUCUGGUGGAUCUUGCUCCAUGAUAUUUCAGCAACUGUGAACACUGUCCAGUGCUUAGGUCAGGGACUUGGAUGAGGCUGGAAUGAGAGAGCCACUCCUGGAGCUUAUCUCCAGGAAGAGGCAGGGGCUCUGCUGUUCCGGGGAUAUUCAGGGCCACUGAUCCCAACUGAGGGCAGAGGAAAUCUGAAUGGAGAAGGGACACCUGUCAGCACCAGGCAAGAGGAGCACAAACGAGUUUCUCAUGUUACAUGGCUGGUACUAGUCCCACUGUGAGAAGAGCAGACGUGCCUGUAGUACACAGGUGACCCUCCCUGCUUAAGAGACUCAUUGCAUGGACUCCAAAGUGCCUAUUUUCCGGAGAACCAACAGCAUUAUAUUCUGAUAUUUGUUGUAUUAAGAAAUUCAGGUAAAUAAGAAACAACCCCAAUCCGAGACAACAAUCUACAAUCCAGUCGACUGUUAACCGACUUCC